rnacentral:tRNA from 1 species
AGGGAUGGAGCUCAGUGGCAAAGCACAUGCCUUACACACAUGCGACUCUGGGUUCGAUCCCUGCCUCCCUC